rnacentral:misc_RNA from 1 species
GAUGAAGAACGCAGCGAAAUGCGAUAAGUAAUGUGAAUUGCAGAAUUCAGUGAAUCAUCGAAUCUUUGAACGCACCUUGCGCCUUUUGGUAUUCCGAAAGGCAUGCCUGUUUGAGUGUCAUGAAAUCUCAAUCCUCCUAGGUUUUUGACCUGGUUGGACUCGGACAUGGGCGUCUGCCAGCAAUGGCUCGCCUUAAAUGACUUAGUGGAACAUCCCACAUCAGUGUUAGACGUAAUAAGUUUCGUCUCUCCUUGUGGUGAUGACUGCUCAUAAUCUGCCAUCGCGCACUUUUGACUUUGACCUCAAAUCAGGUAGGGCUACCCGCUGAACUUAAGCAUAUCAAUAAGCGGAGGA